UAGUUGGUGACAAGUGGCUGGUGAUCCAUGCAACCCAAGCAGAAGUGAGCAGAACUUGUAUCAGCCAAAUAGACAGGAGAAAGCGGAUUUUUCAUUGGACUUCAGGACUCCUGAGUAACAGAUAAAGACAGAGAAACAGCAAAGUUAUGGAGAAUCAGGAAGUAAGUGCCAGUCUGCGCAGAUCUGAGGUCAGUGAGACACACAUAAGGCUCCUCUGAUGCUCCUCUUCAUCCGCUGAUGGGCCUCCAGCUCGUCUGACUCAUUCUGCUCCACGAAGGUCAUCUCCUCUGCCAGCUUCCUCUGAUCCAGGGAGACCCUCUGCUUCUCUCUGAUUGGUUCCCGCUUUCUACAGGAGGUCCAGUGCAGCUGAAUGGUGAUGAUGGUGCAAAUCAGUAACACUGACACUGUCUCCAUCCACACCCGUCACCUCCUGUUUGUCCACUGACAGCCCUGGAGGACUUCAACACACAGUCUGCAGUACAGACAUCUUACCAUCAGUGACUGACAGAUUAACCUGAUCAGAAAGGCUCCACUGAUCUUCACACCACACCAGUACCGAUCGGAGUCCUC